CAGCUUCUGCUCAGAAGCGAGGCCCCGUAGGGCAAGUAUAAAAGAAGAGCCACCGAUGGAAGCUAGAGAUAGAGAUAGCGGCGAACCCUAAAAUACCUAAGCUUUUUCUGCAGAGACGCAAUGGUUUCGGUGAAUACUGUUAUGGUGAUGAUCGGCGCUGGAGGCGUAGGAAUUACUAUGUAUUUGUCGUGUGAAGAACUCUGUCGUAUCGUGAAGAGGAGAGUAGAGAAAAGAAAGGCAACAGCACCAUCCCCCUUUGUUAACCAACUGUCACCGUCUGCUGUGAAGCCAUGAAUGAUGCUCCAUAACAAGGAGUCGAGAAGUCUAAUGUUCAGCGAUGAUUAGUUAGCAUGAGUGUUGGGUGUGUGUGUCGUGGAUAUCUUUUGGUUCCCGAAACUCAAAACUAUGUUUUUAUUUAUUACGAUUGUAUAGACUAAAAAAUAUGAGGCUUGAUUCUCGAUUCCUGACAUUGUUAUAUUAAUGAUAUUUAGUGAUUAUGAUUAGUAAACAUCGUUCAUUAACCAAGUAA